CAGAUCUUGUUUUCGUUAGUUGAUUUGUUGAAGUCUGAGAGGUAGGCGACAACAAAGUGCCGCGUAUUAAAUAUAGUUAAGUUCGUUUUCAAAGAGUGAACUGCCGGAGAUCUGAUACGUCGAGGAUUUCGCCGUUAAGGAAUACUUCUGUUGACAUUCUUUAAGAAGAAAUUUGUGCUGAUUAAUCAUUUGUCGAUCAACUUCGGAGUGUCUCGGGCCGUCGCAACUGCUGCUGACGGCCGUAAUUCGCCUGUCAGAGACCCGGGUUAUACACCUAUCAAGUCACCGAACCUUCGCAGAUUAGGU